rnacentral:rRNA from 1 species
CCUACGGGAGGCAGCAGUAGGGAAUCUUCCACAAUGGGCGCAAGCCUGAUGGAGCAACACCGCGUGAGUGAAGAAGGGUUUCGGCUCGUAAAGCUCUGUUGUUGGGGAAGACCGUGCGUGUGAGUAACUGUUCACGCAUUGACGGUAUCCAACCAUCAAGUCACGUCUAACUACGUGCCAGCAGCCGCGGUAAUACGUAGGUGGCAAGCGUUAUCCGGAAUUAUUGGGCGGAAAGCGAGCGCAGGCGGUUGCUUACGUCUGAUGUGAAAGCCUUCGGCUGAACCGAAGAAGGGCAGCGGAAACGGGCAGACUUGAGUGCAGAAGAGGAGAGUGGAAGUCCAGGUGUAGCGGUGGAAUGCGUAGAUAUAUGGAAGAACACCAGUGGCGAAGGCGGCUGUCUGGUCUGUAACUGACGCUGAGGCGCGAAAGCGUGGGUAGCGAACAGGAUUAGAUACCCGAGUAGUC